ensembl:snoRNA SNORD58 Small nucleolar RNA SNORD58
UUGCAGUGAUGACUAUCUUACGACACCUUUGGAAAUAACCAUGAAAAAAAAUUGUGAAAAUCUGAGCAAC